UAAGUUAAUAAGGGCGCACGGUGGAUGCCUUGGCACUAGGAGCCGACGAAGGACGUGACAAACGACGAUAUGCCUUGGGUAGCUGUAAGUAAGCGAUGAUCCAGGGAUUUCCGAAUGGGGGAACCCAACAGGUAAUACCUGUUACCUACAUCUGUUAAGGAUGUGAGGAGGAAGACGCAGUGAACUGAAACAUCUAAGUAGCUGCAGGAAGAGAAAGCAAAAGCGAUUGCCUUAGUAGCGGCGAGCGAAACGGCAGAAGGGCAAACCGAAGAGUUUACUCUUCGGGGUUGUAGGACUGCAAUGUGGACUCAAAGAUUAUAGAAGAAUGAUUUGGGAAGAUCAGCCAAAGAGAGUAAUAGCCUCGUAUUUAAAAUAGUCUUUGUACUUAGCAGUAUCCUGAGUACGGCGGGACACGUGAAAUCCCGUCGGAAUCUGGGAGGACCAUCUCCCAACCCUAAAUACUCCCUAGUGACCGAUAGUGAACCAGUACCGUGAGGGAAAGGUGAAAAGCACCCCGGGAGGGGAGUGAAAUAGAACCUGAAACCGUGUGCCUACAACAAGUUCGAGCCCGUUAAUGGGUGAGAGCGUGCCUUUUGUAGAAUGAACCGGCGAGUUACGUUAUGAUGCGAGGUUAAGUUGAAGAGACGGAGCCGUAGGGAAACCGAGUCUGAAUAGGGCGCCUUAGUAUCAUGACGUAGACCCGAAACCAUGUGACCUACCCAUGAGCAGGUUGAAGGUGCGGUAAGACGCACUGGAGGACCGAACCAGGGCACGUUGAAAAGUGCUUGGAUGACUUGUGGGUAGCGGAGAAAUUCCAAACGAACUUGGAGAUAGCUGGUUCUCUCCGAAAUAGCUUUAGGGCUAGCGUCGACAUUAGAGAUUCUUGGAGGUAGAGCACUGUUUGGGUGAGGGGUCCAUCCCGGAUUACCAAUCUCAGAUAAACUCCGAAUGCCAAUGAAUUAUGGUCGGCAGUCAGACUGCGAGUGCUAAGAUCCGUAGUCGAAAGGGAAACAGCCCAGACCACCAGCUAAGGUCCCAAAAUAAUUGUUAAGUGGAAAAGGAUGUGGGGUUGCACAGACAACUAGGAUGUUAGCUUAGAAGCAGCUAUUCAUUCAAAGAGUGCGUAAUAGCUCACUAGUCGAGUGACCCUGCGCCGAAAAUGUACCGGGGCUAAAACAAUUUACCGAAGCUGUGGAUACCUUUAUAGGUAUGGUAGGAGAGCGUUCUAUGUGUGAUGAAGGUAUACCGUGAGGAGUGCUGGAACGCAUAGAAGUGAGAAUGCCGGUAUGAGUAGCGAAAGACAGGUGAGAAUCCUGUCCACCGUAAGACUAAGGUUUCCAGGGGAAGGCUCGUCCGCCCUGGGUUAGUCGGGACCUAAGGAGAGACCGAAAGGUGUAUCCGAUGGACAACAGGUUGAUAUUCCUGUACUAGAGUAUGUAGUGAUGGAGGGACGCAGUAGGCUAACUAAAGCAGACGAUUGGAAGAGUCUGUCUAAGCAGUGAGGUGUGAAUUGAGUCAAAUGCUUAAUUCUAUAACAUUGAGCUGUGAUGGGGAGCGAAGUUUAGUAGCGAAGUUAGUGACGUCACACUGCCAAGAAAAGCUUCUAGCGUUUAAACAUACUCUACCCGUACCGCAAACCGACACAGGUAGUCGAGGCGAGUAGCCUCAGGUGAGCGAGAGAACUCUCGUUAAGGAACUCGGCAAAAUGACCCCGUAACUUCGGGAGAAGGGGUGCUGACUUAAAGUCAGCCGCAGUGAAUAGGCCCAAGCAACUGUUUAUCAAAAACACAGCUCUCUGCUAAAUCGUAAGAUGAUGUAUAGGGGGUGACGCCUGCCCGGUGCUGGAAGGUUAAGAGGAGUGCUUAGCGUAAGCGAAGGUAUGAAUUGAAGCCCCAGUAAACGGCGGCCGUAACUAUAACGGUCCUAAGGUAGCGAAAUUCCUUGUCGGGUAAGUUCCGACCCGCACGAAAGGCGUAAUGAUUUGGGCACUGUCUCAACGAGAGACUCGGUGAAAUUUUAGUACCUGUGAAGAUGCAGGUUACCCGCGACAGGACGGAAAGACCCCAUGGAGCUUUACUGCAGUUUGAUAUUGAGUGUCUGUACCACAUGUACAGGAUAGGUAGGAGUCUAAGAGAUCGGGACGCCCAGUUUCGAAGGAGACGCUGUUGGGAUACUACCCUUGUGUUAUGGCCACUCUAACCCAGAUAGGUGAUCCCUAUCGGAGACAGUGUCUGACGGGCAGUUUGACUGGGGCGGUCGCCUCCUAAAAGGUAACGGAGGCGCCCAAAGGUUCCCUCAGAAUGGUUGGAAAUCAUUCGCAGAGUGUAAAGGUAUAAGGGAGCUUGACUGCGAGAGCUACAACUCGAGCAGGGACGAAAGUCGGGCUUAGUGAUCCGGUGGUUCCGUAUGGAAGGGCCAUCGCUCAACGGAUAAAAGCUACCCUGGGGAUAACAGGCUUAUCUCCCCCAAGAGUUCACAUCGACGGGGAGGUUUGGCACCUCGAUGUCGGCUCGUCGCAUCCUGGGGCUGUAGUCGGUCCCAAGGGUUGGGCUGUUCGCCCAUUAAAGCGGCACGCGAGCUGGGUUCAGAACGUCGUGAGACAGUUCGGUCCCUAUCCGUCGCGGGCGUAGGAAAUUUGAGAGGAUCUGCUCCUAGUACGAGAGGACCAGAGUGGACUUACCGCUGGUGUACCAGUUGUCUUGCCAAAGGCAUCGCUGGGUAGCUAUGUAGGGAAGGGAUAAACGCUGAAAGCAUCUAAGUGUGAAACCCACCUCAAGAUGAGAUUUCCCAUGAUUAUAUAUCAGUAAGAGCCCUGAGAGAUGAUCAGGUAGAUAGGUUAGAAGUGGAAGUGUGGCGACACAUGUAGCGGACUAAUACUAAUAGCUCGAGGACUUAUCCA
rnacentral:rRNA from 1 species